rnacentral:rRNA from 1 species
AUACGGAGGGUGCAAGCGUUGUUCGGGAUUUAUUGGGCGUAAAGCGCGUGUAGGCGGUUGGUUAAGUCUGAUGUGAAAGCCCUGGGCUCAACCCGGGAAGUGCAUUGGAAACUGGCUAACUUGAGUACGGGAGAGGGUAGUGGAAUUUCGAGUGUAGGGGUGAAAUCCGUAGAUAUUCGAAGGAACACCGGUGGCGAAGGCGGCUACCUGGACCGAUACUGACGCUGAGACGCGAAAGCGUGGGGAGC